rnacentral:rRNA from 1 species
UUAAGUUAUUAAGGGCGCACGGUGGAUGCCUUGGCACUAGAAGCCGAUGAAGGACGUUACUAACGACGAUAUGCUUUGGGGAGCUGUAAGUAAGCUUUGAUCCAGAGAUUUCCGAAUGGGGAAACCCAGCAUGAGUUAUGUCAUGUUAUCGAUAUGUGAAUACAUAGCAUAUCAGAAGGCACACCCGGAGAACUGAAACAUCUUAGUACCCGGAGGAAGAGAAAGAAAAUUCGAUUCCCUUAGUAGCGGCGAGCGAAACGGGAAGAGCCCAAACCAACAAGCUUGCUUGUUGGGGUUGUAGGACACUCUAUACGGAGUUACAAAGGACGACAUUAGACGAAUCAUCUGGAAAGAUGAAUCAAAGAAGGUAAUAAUCCUGUAGUCGAAAAUGUUGUCUCUCUUGAGUGGAUCCUGAGUACGACGGAGCACGUGAAAUUCCGUCGGAAUCUGGGAGGACCAUCUCCUAAGGCUAAAUACUCUCUAGUGACCGAUAGUGAACCAGUACCGUGAGGGAAAGGUGAAAAGCACCCCGGAAGGGGAGUGAAAUAGAACCUGAAACCGUGUGCUUACAAGUAGUCAGAGCCCGUUAAUGGGUGAUGGCGUGCCUUUUGUAGAAUGAACCGGCGAGUUACGAUUUGAUGCAAGGUUAAGCAGUAAAUGUGGAGCCGUAGCGAAAGCGAGUCUGAAUAGGGCGUUUAGUAUUUGGUCGUAGACCCGAAACCAGGUGAUCUACCCUUGGUCAGGUUGAAGUUCAGGUAACACUGAAUGGAGGACCGAACCGACUUACGUUGAAAAGUGAGCGGAUGAACUGAGGGUAGCGGAGAAAUUCCAAUCGAACCUGGAGAUAGCUGGUUCUCUCCGAAAUAGCUUUAGGGCUAGCCUCAAGUGAUGAUUAUUGGAGGUAGAGCACUGUUUGGACGAGGGGCCCCUCUCGGGUUACCGAAUUCAGACAAACUCCGAAUGCCAAUUAAUUUAACUUGGGAGUCAGAACAUGGGUGAUAAGGUCCGUGUUCGAAAGGGAAACAGCCCAGACCACCAGCUAAGGUCCCAAAAUAUAUGUUAAGUGGAAAAGGAUGUGGCGUUGCCCAGACAACUAGGAUGUUGGCUUAGAAGCAGCCAUCAUUUAAAGAGUGCGUAAUAGCUCACUAGUCGAGUGACACUGCGCCGAAAAUGUACCGGGGCUAAACAUAUUACCGAAGCUGUGGAUUGUCCUUUGGACAAUGGUAGGAGAGCGUUCUAAGGGCGUUGAAGCAUGAUCGUAAGGACAUGUGGAGCGCUUAGAAGUGAGAAUGCCGGUGUGAGUAGCGAAAGACGGGUGAGAAUCCCGUCCACCGAUUGACUAAGGUUUCCAGAGGAAGGCUCGUCCGCUCUGGGUUAGUCGGGUCCUAAGCUGAGGCCGACAGGCGUAGGCGAUGGAUAACAGGUUGAUAUUCCUGUACCACCUAUAAUCGUUUUAAUCGAUGGGGGGACGCAGUAGGAUAGGCGAAGCGUGCGAUUGGAUUGCACGUCUAAGCAGUAAGGCUGAGUAUUAGGCAAAUCCGGUACUCGUUAAGGCUGAGCUGUGAUGGGGAGAAGACAUUGUGUCUUCGAGUCGUUGAUUUCACACUGCCGAGAAAAGCCUCUAGAUAGAAAAUAGGUGCCCGUACCGCAAACCGACACAGGUAGUCAAGAUGAGAAUUCUAAGGUGAGCGAGCGAACUCUCGUUAAGGAACUCGGCAAAAUGACCCCGUAACUUCGGGAGAAGGGGUGCUCUUUAGGGUUAACGCCCAGAAGAGCCGCAGUGAAUAGGCCCAAGCGACUGUUUAUCAAAAACACAGGUCUCUGCUAAACCGUAAGGUGAUGUAUAGGGGCUGACGCCUGCCCGGUGCUGGAAGGUUAAGAGGAGUGGUUAGCUUCUGCGAAGCUACGAAUCGAAGCCCCAGUAAACGGCGGCCGUAACUAUAACGGUCCUAAGGUAGCGAAAUUCCUUGUCGGGUAAGUUCCGACCCGCACGAAAGGCGUAACGAUUUGGGCACUGUCUCAACGAGAGACUCGGUGAAAUCAUAGUACCUGUGAAGAUGCAGGUUACCCGCGACAGGACGGAAAGACCCCGUGGAGCUUUACUGUAGCCUGAUAUUGAAAUUCGGCACAGCUUGUACAGGAUAGGUAGGAGCCUUUGAAACGUGAGCGCUAGCUUACGUGGAGGCGCUGGUGGGAUACUACCCUAGCUGUGUUGGCUUUCUAACCCGCACCACUUAUCGUGGUGGGAGACAGUGUCAGGCGGGCAGUUUGACUGGGGCGGUCGCCUCCUAAAAGGUAACGGAGGCGCUCAAAGGUUCCCUCAGAAUGGUUGGAAAUCAUUCAUAGAGUGUAAAGGCAUAAGGGAGCUUGACUGCGAGACCUACAAGUCGAGCAGGGUCGAAAGACGGACUUAGUGAUCCGGUGGUUCCGCAUGGAAGGGCCAUCGCUCAACGGAUAAAAGCUACCCCGGGGAUAACAGGCUUAUCUCCCCCAAGAGUUCACAUCGACGGGGAGGUUUGGCACCUCGAUGUCGGCUCAUCGCAUCCUGGGGCUGUAGUCGGUCCCAAGGGUUGGGCUGUUCGCCCAUUAAAGCGGUACGCGAGCUGGGUUCAGAACGUCGUGAGACAGUUCGGUCCCUAUCCGUCGUGGGCGUAGGAAAUUUGAGAGGAGCUGUCCUUAGUACGAGAGGACCGGGAUGGACAUACCUCUGGUGUACCAGUUGUCGUGCCAACGGCAUAGCUGG